GACGAACGCUGGCGGCGUGCUUAACACAUGCAAGUCGAACGGAAAGGCCCCUUUGGGGGUACUCGAGUGGCGAACGGGUGAGUAACACGUGAGUAACCUGCCCUUGACUUCGGGAUAACUUCAGGAAACUGGGGCUAAUACCGGAUAGGAAUCCUUGCUGCAUGGUGGGGGUUGGAAAGCUUCGGCGGUUUUGGAUGGACUCGCGGCUUAUCAGCUUGUUGGUGGGGUAGUGGCUUACCAAGGCGUUGACGGGUAGCCGGCCUGAGAGGGCGACCGGCCACAGUGGGACUGAGAUACGGCCCAGACUCCUACGGGAGGCAGCAGUGGGGAAUAUUGCACAAGGGGCGGAAGCCUGAUGCAGCAACGCCGCGGGCGGGAGGACGGCCUUCGGGUUGGAAACCGCUUUCAGCAGGGGCGAAGCUUGUGGUGACGGUACCUGCAGAAGAAGCACCGGCUAACUACGUG
rnacentral:rRNA from 1 species